rnacentral:piRNA from 1 species
AGUGAUGGAUAACAGGUCGGA